rnacentral:rRNA from 1 species
CGAUCUGGCCUAUCAAACCUGGAGAUAUCUCGUUCUCCCCGAAAUAGCUUUAGGGCUAGCCUCGGAUGUUUACCCGUGGGGGUAGAGCACUGAAUAGUUGCGGGGGCUUCACCGCCUACCAAGAUUAAUCAAACUCCGAAUACCAUAGGGUCUAAAUCCGGGAGUCAGAAUAUGUGGGCUAAGCUGUGUAUUCGAAAGGGAAACAGCCCAGACCGCCCGCUAAGGUCCCAAAAUCAAUGCUAAGUGGCAAAGGAUGUGCGUUUGCUCAGACAACCAGGAUGUUGGCUUAGAAGCAGCCAUUCAUUUAAAGAGUGCGUAAUAGCUCACUGGUCGAGUGGACAUGCGCCGACAAUAUACGGGGCUAAGCAUUGUACCGAAGCGGCGGACUUGCACGUAUGUGUGAGUGGUAGGGGAGCUUUCUUAUAUGGGUUGAAGCCGUGGGAUAACCCACGGUGGACUUAUAAGAAGUGAGAAUGCUGGCAUGAGUAACGAAAGACGAGUAAAAAACUCGUCCGCCGUACACCUAAGGGUUCCUGGGCAAGGCUAAUCCUCCCAGGGUUAGGCGGGAGCUAAGGCGAGGCCGGAAGGCGUAGUCGAUGCACAACAGGUAGAUAUUCCUGUCCCUCCAUAUAGGCGCUAUACCGAUGGGGUGACGAAGAAGGGUAGCUCGGCGGGGUUCUGGACGUCCCCGUGAUAACACGUAGGUUGAGAAGUUGUAAAAUGCGCUUCUCAUAAGCUGAGGUGUUGGACGAAGCAAUUGAGUGAAGUGAGUGAGCCCAUACUUCCAAGAAAAACCUCUAGGAAGUCUGUUGGAGCCCGUACCAAAACCGACACAGGUAGGUGGGUAGAGCAUACCAAGGCGAUCGGGAGAACUAUGGUUAAGGAACUCGGCAAAAUUGCCCCGUAACUUCGGGAGAAGGGGUGCCGGUUUGGGUGAUAAGACACGCUCUUUGAGCCUCGGCCGGUCACAGUAAAUAGGUCCAAGCGACUGUUUAUCAAAAACACAGGACUCUGCUGAAGUCGUAAGACGACGUAUAGGGUCUGACGCCUGCCCGGUGCCGGAAGGUCACGAGGAGUUGUUAGCGAAUGCGAAGCAGCGAAUCUAAGCCCCGGUAAACGGCGGCCGUAACUAUAACGGUCCUAAGGUAGCGAAAUUCCUUGUCGGGUAAGUUCCGACCUGCACGAAAGGCGUAACGAUUUGGACGCUGUCUCAACCAUAGACCCGGUGAAAUUGCACUAGUCGUGAAGAUGCGACUUACCCGCAGAAGGACGGAAAGACCCCGUGAACCUUUACUGCAGCUUGACAUUGGCUGCCGGUUCGUCGUGUAGAGGAUAGGUGGGAGACUUUGAACCAGGGACGCCAGUUUCUGGGGAGUCACCCUUGGAAUACCACCCUCGACGUUUCGGCAUCCUAACCUGCGACCGUUAUCCGGCGUGGGGACCGUGUCAGGUGGGUAGUUUGACUGGGGCGGUCGCCUCCUAAAGUGUAACGGAGGCGCACGUAAGGUCUGCUCAGAAUGGUCGGCAACCAUUCUUUUGAGUGCAAGAGCAUAAGCAGGCUUGACUGCGAGGCCUACAAGCCGAGCAGAUGGGAAACCAGGUUCUAGUGAUCCGGCGGCUCAGAGUGGUAUGGCCGUCGCUCAACGGAUAAAAGGUACUCCGGGGAUAACAGGCUGAUCUUCCCCAAGAGUUCACAUCGACGGGAAGGUUUGGCACCUCGAUGUCGGCUCAUCGCAUCCUGGGGCUGGAGCAGGUCCCA